GACGAACGCUGGCGGCGUGCUUAACACAUGCAAGUCGAACGGAAAGGCCCUGCUUUUGUGGGUUGCUCGAUUGGCGAACGGGGGAGAAACACGUGAGUAACCUGCCCUUGUCUUUGGGAUAACUUCAGGAAACUGCGGCUAAUACCGGAUAGGAGCUCCUGCUGCAUGGUGGUGGUUGGAAAGUUUCGGCGGUUGGGGAUGGACUCGCGGCUUAUCAGCUUGUUGGUGGGGUAGGUGCUUACCAAGGCUUUGACGGGUAGCCGGCCUGAGAGGGUGACCGGCGACAUUGGGACUGCGAGACGGCCCAGACGGCAACGGGAGGCAGCAGGGGGGAAUAUGGCACAAUGGGCGGAAGUCUGAUGCAGCAACGUCGCGUGCGGGAUGACGUGUUUCGGGUGGUAAACCGCUUUCGCCGGUGACGAAGCGUGAGUGACGGUAAUGGGUAAAGAAGCAACGGCUAACUACGUG
rnacentral:rRNA from 1 species